AGAGUUUGAUCUUGGCUCAGGAUGAACGCUGGCGGCGUGCUUAACACAUGCAAGUCGAACGGGAAACAUUUUAUUGAAGCUUCGGCAGAUUUAACUUGUUUCUAGUGGCGGACGGGUGAGUAACGCGUGGGUAACCUGCCUCACACUGGGGGAUAACAGUCAGAAAUGGCUGCUAAUACCGCAUAAGCGCACAGCAUCGCAUGAUGCAGUGUGAAAAACUCCGGUGGUGUGAGAUGGACCCGCGUUGGAUUAGCUAGUUGGCAGGGCAGCGGCCUACCAAGGCGACGAUCCAUAGCCGGCCUGAGAGGGUGAACGGCCACAUUGGGACUGAGACACGGCCCAGACUCCUACGGGAGGCAGCAGUGGGGAAUAUUGCACAAUGGGGGAAACCCUGAUGCAGCGACGCCGCGUGAAGGAAGAAGUAUCUCGGUAUGUAAACUUCUAUCAGCAGGGAAGAAAAUGACGGUACCUGACUAAGAAGCCCCGGCUAACUACGUGCCAGCAGCCGCGGUAAUACGUAGGGGGCAAGCGUUAUCCGGAUUUACUGGGUGUAAAGGGAGCGUAGACGGUGGUGCAAGUCUGAUGUGAAAAGCGGGGGCUCAACCCCUGGACUGCCUUGGGAACUGCGAUACUCGAGUGCCGGAGAGGUAAGCGGAAUUCCUAGUGUAACGGUGAUAUGCGUNGNUNUUNGGNGGNNCCCCCGUGGCGNNGGCGGCUUNCUGGNCGGUNNCUGNCGUUGNGGCUCGNNNGCGUGGGGCGCCAACAGGAUUCGCUNCCCUGGUNGUCNNCGCCGUNNNCGCCCAUAAAGGGGUGUCGGGGAGCAGAGCUCUUCGGUGCCGCAGCAAACGCAAUAAGUA
rnacentral:rRNA from 1 species